CAUGGGCCUGUGCUGCAAUAGCACUCCUCCACUUUGUCUGAUGGUCUUUGGGAUGGCGGCGAGCUCUGGUCACGUAUUUAUUGGUGGAAAUUUGGAAAACAGCGAAGUUGCUGGGAAAGCUCUUUCGUACCGGGUGAUAUUGCGGGUCAAUCUCGAUUUCCCGGAGGGAUCGCAGCCGGAGCCCCAUCGGGCUAUCCCCUGGAACAACUAACGGGGCAGUGGGUGGCUCGAGGAAUUCAUCGGUCGGGUUAACGGCUACGAGUUAACGAGAGAAUUAAUCCCUGUGGGUUACUCGGAGGUCGUUCAAUUCCAUCAAUUUUUUUUUACCUCUUUCUCUCUCUCUGUAACCUCUUUCGAAAAAUCCAGUGGCGCUGAUGCAUUUGGGGUGAAGCCGGAACAGCAAAAAUCACUGACAGUUACGUCAAUGAGAAAGCAUUUAACCAGAGAGGUGUGACUUUUCAUGAAAUUGAUUGGAAUAUGUUUUUAUGAAUGUUUCGGGGAUUUAUGUAGUAUUAUAAUUAGUGGAGAUUCGUGUAUUCGUAAUAAGUUAGUUCCCGGACUUCCUCUUUAUUAGAUUUUAAUUGGAAGCCAGGUUAAUGAAAAAUAGACGUUUAAGUGAGAGCUAUUUUAUUUUACGAUUGUGUUCACACUUCGAGAGCAGUCGUCGAACUGACAAACGAUUUUGAAAUCUCAAAAACCAAAGCAUCAGCAUCAUGGUUUCUUUCUUUCGAUAAAAAGAGAUUGGUUUAUAUUAUUUAAUAAACAUUCAUUGGAGUUUUCGUCGUAAGACCACACAGACGGCCUCUCCAAGAAACAAUGACCUCAUAAUAUAAAUAUAAACUUAUAUAGGUCUGUAAUACGAUCAUAUUGUUUUUGUUAUUUUCAAUACUCUUGGCUAAUAGAUUAUAUUUACGAGGAAAAAGAAUAAAAAAUGUCUGAAUCAGUUUUUACUUGGCAGAAGGAUUUUUUUAUUCUCUUGAUAAUCGUGUGAGCUCACGUGGAUACAGGGACUUCCUAUCGUUUAAAGAAUUACUCAAUUUGUAGUAAAAGUUGAUUGAGUAUUUAGAGCUUUAAAACAUUGACAUCUCGUUAAACUUUUUUCGAAAGUUGUUUGCAACAUACACUACGCUA